GGGUAACGGGGUGUUAGGGCACGACACCGGAGAGGGAGCCUGAGAAACGGCUACCACAUCCAAGGAUGGCAGCAGGCGCGCAAAUUACCCAAUCCCGACACGGGGAGGUAGUGACAAUAAAUAACAAUACGGGGUUCUUUAGGAUCUCGUAAUUGGAAUGAGUACAAUUUAAAUCUCUUAACGAGGAACAAUUGGAGGGCAAGUCUGGUGCCAGCAGCCGCGGUAAUUCCAGCUCCAAUAGCGUAUAUUAAAGUUGUUGCAGUUAAAAAGCUCGUAGUUGAAUUUCGGGGUUAGUAGGUUGGUCAUGCCUCUGGUAUGUACUGGUCUCACUGAUUCCUCCUUCCUUAUGAACCGUAAUGCCAUUAAUUUGGUGUUGCGGGAAAUUUGGACUGUUACUUUGAAAAAAUUAGAGUGUUUAAAGCAAGCUAACGCUUGAAUACAUUAGCAUGGAAUAAUGAAAUAGGACGUUCGAUCUUAUUUUGUUGGUUUCUAGGAUUGACGUAAUGAUUAAUAGGGAUAGUUGGGGGCAUUAGUAUUCAAUUGUCAGAGGUGAAAUUCUUGGAUUUAUUGAAGACUAACUACUGCGAAAGCAUUUGCCAAGGAUGUUUUCAUUAAUCAAGAACGAAAGUUAGGGGAUCGAAGACGAUCAGAUACC
rnacentral:rRNA from 1 species